CUCUCUCUCAUCGUUUCCCUUCCUCUGCCUUCUCUUCUCUCCCGUGCCGCCGUAAUCCAUGGGAGCAGGUGGGAGCUAGGGUUGGAAAAAUGUGCCCGGUGUCAUAUCUCUCUCUCUCUCUCUCUCUCCUCCCUCUCAUGUACCUGGGUAAGGAUCUACGGCAUAGAAGCUUAAUCUCGCCCUGUGUUCCUCUGAAUCGACUGUGCGCGUUGAUUUAUUUGGCAGCGAUGGCUCGUCUAUGUCCGAUGUCGUCGUCCGGGGCGUCGAUUCUAUAGAGGUACAGGAGUUGACGGUCUUCCGCGAUUCAACUAUGAAGGAAUGGGGCGAUUGCUUCAUCAUUAGAUAAAAGAAAUAGCAGACCCUGCCAACAGGAAAAUAAGACCGAAUCUUCCAGAGCUAUGCUCUGGUAAUAUGGUACUUCUACAAGUGAAACAUCAGCAGAAUAGCCAAAUCAAAUUUGCUGAACAUAUCUUUCACUGCUGCAAGCUUUGCUUUGUUCUACUGCAGUUAAUUCCCCAGAAGAAAAAUUGUUUAAUGAGUUUUAAGAUCUGCUUCAUAGUUCAUACAUACUAGACUUACUAGAACUAUUUUUUAUGUGAUCGAGCUGUGUCAUUUGUUUUAUUUGCCGCACCUCUAUACUUUACAUCAUUUUCCCUUCUGUUUAUGCCUGCACGAAUCAACUGCAACUUGUUUUUAGCUUUGGUUAAUUCUAGCCUAUGCCAUCAUUUCCCAGCUUAAAUCCAACAUUUACAAAUCCAAUCCCAUUAAGUAUUAAUGUAUUAUUCCUUACGAGUACUCCCUUGGUAGUUGGUACUUUUUGUCUCUGAAAUUCUAUUGAUGAUCUUUUUUACUUUUGCAUGCAGGACUAUGCUCCUUAUGAAAUUCUCUGAAAUUCAGGCUUGAAUACUAUGUUAUGAUGCAGAAUCAUCUAAUCAUCUCAACACUUGGCUUCAUCCUUCUGGGGGAUGUGCAAACGAGUUUGAGGCCCUGUGUCAUCCAGAAGGAACCAUGUUGUGAUUUCCCAUCUGCGCUAAUGCUCGAUCUUUCAAGCGUGACUGUUGGACGACAUUUAUUUUGGCUGAUGAUUCUGCUUGUACUUUGGCCAACCUGUGGUUAUCACUAUUUAUUUUCCAACUGUUUCUGAACUAAGUCUGAUGCUUGCGCCUGUGCUCGCAUGCGAGAAAUUACACUGUUUGAGCAAUUGUGGUUUUAUUCUACAUAUAUGUACACACUGUUUCCAAAUGUGUAUACGACAGUGGCCAUGUCAAAUUUUCUGGA